rnacentral:rRNA from 1 species
UACGGGGGAGCAAGCGUUGUUCGGAUUUACUGGGCGUAAAGGGCGCGUAGGCGGUCAGCACAAGUCAGUUGUGAAAUCUCCGGGCUUAACUCGGAAAGGUCAACUGAUACUGUGCGACUAGAGUGCAGAAGGGCAACUGGAAUUCUCGGUGUAGCGGUGAAAUGCGUAGAUAUCGAGAGGAACACCUGCGGCGAAGGCGGGUUGCUGGGCUGACACUGACGCUGAGGCGCGAAGCGUGGGGAGCAAACAGG